AUUGAACGCUGGCGGCAGGCUUAACACAUGCAAGUCGAGCGGAGAUGAGGUGCUUGCACCUUAUCUUAGCGGCGGACGGGUGAGUAAUGCUUAGGAAUCUGCCUAUUAGUGGGGGACAACAUUCCGAAAGGAAUGCUAAUACCGCAUACGCCCUACGGGGGAAAGCAGGGGAUCUUCGGACCUUGCGCUAAUAGAUGAGCCUAAGUCGGAUUAGCUAGUUGGUGGGGUAAAGGCCUACCAAGGCGACGAUCUGUAGCGGGUCUGAGAGGAUGAUCCGCCAGACUGGGACUGAGACACGGCCCAGACUGCUACGGGAGGCAGCAGUGGGGAAUAUUGGACAAUGGGCGGAAGCCUGAUCCAGCCAUGCCGCGUGUGUGAAGAAGGCCUUUUGGUUGUAAAGCACUUUAAGCGAGGAGGAGGCUACCUGGAUUAAUACUCUAGGAUAGUGGACGUUACUCGCAGAAUAAGCACCGGCUAACUCUGUGCCAGCCGCCGCGGUAAAAC
rnacentral:rRNA from 1 species